GUGCUGGCCUCGGCCGCCCAGGUACUGAAAUUGGGACGAUGCGGAGAGGAUUAGUGAGGCCCCUGAGCAAGGCUGACAGGCACGUUGGGAAGCCUUCGUACUUUUU
ensembl:snRNA U6 U6 spliceosomal RNA